rnacentral:rRNA from 1 species
AUUGAACGCUGGCGGCAGGCCUAACACAUGCAAGUCGAACGAGUGGCGGAAGGGUGAGUAAUGUCGGGGAAACUGCGCGAUGGAGGGGGAUAACUACUGGAAACGGUAGCUAAUACCGCAUACUAUCGGAUGCGCCGAGAUGGGAUGAGCUAGUAGGUGGGGUAACGGCUCACCUGGGCGACGAUCCCUAACUGGUCUGAGAGGAUGAGCAGCCACACUGGAACUGAGAGACGGUCCAGACUCCUCCGGGAGGCAGCAGUGGGGAAUAUUGCACAAGGGGCGAAAGCCUGAUGCAGCCAUGCCGCGUGUAUGAAGAAGGCCUUCGGGUUGUAAAGUACUUUCAGCGAGGAGGCGUUACUCGCAGAAGAAGCACCGGCUAACUCCGUGCCAGCAGCCGCGGUAAUUC